CUCCCUCCUGCCGCCUCCCUCCCUUGCCUUCUCAGGGAAUGGAUGAUCUGAGCCGGGAAGCCAGAGCAGCCAAGGUGGCCCGGAUGGUACGGAAGACAGGGCUAGGAAGUUGGGUCUUUGCCUGAUUUAUUCGGGCAAUUUAGACCCCGAGGUGGAAUGAUGCAACUCUGCUCCCACCACAUCCCCGCCCGAGGGGUGGGGAAACUGAGGCCCAGAACGGGCAAAUGAUUUACCCCAAAGUACCUUACCAAAGAAGAAGAGAAAAGUAAAGAUUCGAUAUAAGCAUGUAUAUUUAGCUCGGUGAUGUAAGAGGAAGGACAGCGAGAACUGCAAAGGGAAGAAUAGGAUGAAACCCGACAAGGAUAAUAUUACCCAAAGAGACAAAGGAAGUUGAUAAGACUGGGAAGAGAGAGAAAAAAAUUGACAAGUUCUGUGAGAAGUACAUCGAAGUGUAAACUAGUGGAACUGUUUCCUUCUUUCUAUUUUUAAAGUGCAUCAUUUGAAAGCCUGUCCUUCAUUUCAGGCAGCCCAGCUUUAAUUUUUCUUGUUCCAGGAAAUUAGUUUAAUUACUUAAAAUUAUCCAGUAAAUUCCUGUUAAAAAGAAAAGGUGGUGUGCAAAGUCCUGGGAAUACAAGUGUAAUGGAGGUUUGGCACAUAUCCAGACCAAUGAAAAUUGUGUCAGCAUUUGCCUCCAGGGGUGGAUUCAUUCACUCACAGCAGCUACAGAAAGUGGAGUUCCAGACCCAGAAAAGUGAGCCCUGGGGACUUUGGCCUGAAGCACUCUAGACCACAUAUUGAAGCCAGCCCAGCAACGAUUCAGGAUAGACUUGAAUUUGUUGGAAUUAAUGCUAGGGAUGAUUCUAUGUUCCACCAUCUUUGUCCUACUGCACCCAUGCCUGGAAUGCUCUCCCUCCUCAUCUCCAUCUCUUCUGGCUUGCCAAGAAGUCCCAGCCAAAAUCUCACCUUCUACCAGAAGCCUUUCCCAACCCCUCUCAAUUCUAGUGCCUUCCUUCUGGUAUUUGUUUUCAUUUUAUCUUGUGUAAUUGUUUCCACCAUUAGAUGUGAGCUCCUAGAGAGCAAGGACUAUCUUUUACCUUUCUUUGUAACCCCAUUGCUUAGCACAAGA